AGUCGAAACACGUAAGUGUCUCUCGUGGGUGGCCUCCUGAGACUGAUGAUGACAGGCUUGG
rnacentral:hammerhead_ribozyme from 2 species